rnacentral:pre_miRNA from 1 species
UCUGGGCUAUGGCAAUGCUGUGUCAGGUGCACAGCAUGGCCAUAGCCCAGAUG